AAACGCAGAGACAGCCAGGAUGUUGGCUUAGAAGCAGCCAUCAUUUAAAGAAAGCGUAACAGCUCACUGGUCAAGUGAUUCUGCGCCGAAAAUUUAACGGGGCUCAAGCACAUUACCGAAGCUGCGGAUUUCUCCGCUUCGGCGGAGGAGUGGUAGGGGAGCAUUCCAUUCAGGAGUGAAGCCAGACCGUGAGGACUGGUGGACCGGAUGGAAGAGAUUAUGCUGACAUGAGUAGCGAUAAAGCGGGUGAGAAACCCGCUCGCCGUAAGCCUAAGGGUUCCUGAGUAAAGCUAAUCUUCUCAGGGUUAGUCGGUCCCUAAGCCGAGGCCGAAAGGCGUAGGCGAUGGAAAACAGGUUAAUAUUCCUGUACCACCAAUUUGGCGUUUGAGCGAUGGGGUGACGCAGAAGGGUAAGUCAUUCCGGUGAUGGUUGUCCGGAUUCAAGCUCGUAGGUGGAGAGGGCAGGUAAAUCCACCCUCUCGUUAACACCGAGAAGUGAUGAGGAGGGAGUAAUCCCACAAACUGGCUGAGCCCACGCUGCCAAGAAAAGCCUCUAGUAAGUCAGAUUGGUGACCGUACCGCAAACCGACUCAGGUAGGCGGGGUGAGUAUCCUAAGGCGCUCGGGAGAACUCUGGUUAAGGAACUCGGCAUAUUAACACCGUAACUUCGGAAGAAGGUGUGCCUCCGUUAGGUGAAGAAAUUUACUUUUGGAGCCGAAGGAGGUUGCAGAGAAAUGGGGGUAGCGACUGUUUACUAAAAACACAGGACUCUGCUAAGUCGCAAGACGAUGUAUAGGGUCUGACGCCUGCCCGGUGCUGGAAGGUUAAGGGGAUUCGUCAUGUCGUAGCAAUACGGCAGAAGCGUUGAACCGAAGCCCCAGUAAACGGCGGCCGUAACUAUAACGGUCCUAAGGUAGCGAAAUUCCUUGUCGGGUAAGUUCCGACCUGCACGAAUGGCUGGCGUAACGACUUCCCCGCUGUCUCAACCAGGGACUCAGCGAAACUGUAUUGACGGUGCCGAUGCCGUCUACCCGCGGCAAGACGGAAAGACCCCGUGCACCUUUACUACAACUUGGCAAUGAAUUUCGGAAUAGUCUGUGUAGGAUAGGUGGGAGACUUUGAGAUCUCGGCGCCAGUCGGGAUGGAGUCAACCUUGAAAUACCACCCUGAUUGUUUUGGAAUUCUAACCUGGGCCCGUGAUCCGGGUCGGGGACAUUGCCUGGUGGGUAGUUUGACUGGGGCGGUCGCCUCCCAAAAGAUAACGGAGGCGCGCAAAGGUUCCCUCAGGCUGAUUGGAAACCAGCCGUAGAGUGUAAAGGCAUAAGGGAGCUUGACUGCAAGACCAACAAGUCAAGCAGGUACGAAAGUAGGCCUUAGUGAUCCGGCGGUUCCGCAUGGAAGGGCCGUCGCUCAACGGAUAAAAGGUACGCCGGGGAUAACAGGCUAAUUUCUCCCAAGAGUUCAUAUCGACGGGGAAGUUUGGCACCUCGAUGUCGGCUCAUCGCAUCCUGGGGCUGUAGCAGGUCCCAAGGGUUUGGCUGUUCGCCAAUUAAAGCGGUACGCGAGCUGGGUUUAAAACGUCGUGAGACAGUUUGGUCCCUAUCUGCCGUGGGCGCAGGAUACUUGAGGGGAGCUGUCCCCAGUACGAGAGGACCGGGAUGGACGAACCUACGGUGUUCCAGUUGUGACGCCAGUCGCAGCGCUGGGUAGCCGUGUUCGGAAGGGAUAACCGCUGAAAGCAUCUAAGCGGGAAGCCCACCCCAAGAUGUGAGGUAUUGAGCAUACUGAUACUAAUAGGUCGAUCGGCUUGAUCAUAAUUGCAAUAUUAUUUCAGCCUGAUUCCC
rnacentral:rRNA from 1 species